rnacentral:rRNA from 15 species
GGCAAAAUACCUCCGUAAGUUCGCGAGAAGGAGGCCCGGUUCCUAGGCAACUAGGGGCUGGGGGCACAAACCAGGGGGUGGCGACUGUUUACUAAAAACACAGGGCUCUGCGAAGUCGCAAGACGACGUAUAGGGUCUGACGCCUGCCCGGUGCCUGAAGGUUAAAAGGAGGAGUGAGAGCUCCGAAUUGAAGCCCAGGUAAACGGCGGCCGUAACAAUAACGGUCCUAAGGUAGCGAAAUUCCUUGUCGGGUAAGUUCCGACCUGCACGAAUGGCGUAACGACUUCCCCGCUGUCUCCAACAUCGACUCAGCGAAAUUGAAUUGCCUGUCAAGAUGCAGGCUUCCCGCGGUUAGACGGAAAGACCCCGUGCACCUUUACUACAGCUUCGCACUGGCAUCAGGAUUGUGAUGUGCAGGAUAGGUGGUAGGCUUUGAAGCGGUGACGCCAGUCAUCGUGGAGCCUCCCUUGAGAUACCACCCUUCGCACUCUUGAUGUCUAACCGCGGUCCGUUAUCCGGAUCCGGGACCCUGCGUGGCGGGUAGUUUGACUGGGGCGGUCGCCUCCUAAAGCGUAACGGAGGCGCGCGAAGGUUGGCUCAGAGCGGUCGGAAAUCGCUCGUUGAGUGCAAUGGCAGAAGCCAGCCUGACUGCGAGACUGACAAGUCGAGCAGAGACGAAAGUCGGCCAUAGUGAUCCGGUGGUCCCGAGUGGAAGGGCCAUCGCUCAACGGAUAAAAGGUACGCCG